rnacentral:rRNA from 1 species
CUACGUGCCAGCAGCCGCGGUAAUACGUAUGUCGCAAGCGUUAUCCGGAAUUAUUGGGCUUAAAGGGCAUCUAGGCGGUAUAACAAGUUGAAGGUGAAAAGCUGUAGCUCAACUAUAGUCUUGCCUACAAAACUGUAAUACUAGAGUACUGGAAAGGUGGGUGGAACUACACGAGUAGAGGUGAAAUUCGUAGAUAUGUGUAGGAAUGCCGAUGAUGAAGAUAACUCACUGGACAGAAACUGACGCUGAAGUGCGAAAGCUAGGGGAGCAAACAGGAUUAGAUACCCUGGUAGUCCUAGCUGUAAACGAUGAUUACUGGGUGUGGGGAUGAGAAGUCUCUGUGCCCAAGCAAACGCGAUAAGUAAUCCGCCUGGGGAGUACGUACGCAAGUAUGAAACUCAAAGGAAUUGACGGGGACCCGCACAAGCGGUGGAGCAUGUGGUUUAAUUCGACGCAACGCGAGGAACCUUACCUACUCUUGACAUCCAGAGAAUUCGCUAGAGAUAG